AGGUUGGCUCAGAAGCAGCCAUCCUUUAAAGAGUGCGUAACAGCUCACUAGUCGAGUGACCCUGCGCCGAAAAUGUACCGGGGCUAAGCCUGAUACCGAAACUGCGGAUUGUAGGAAACUAUAGUGGUAGGGGAGCGUUGUAUACGAGCAGAAGCCGUACCGUGAGGAGCGGUGGAUUGUAUAGAAGUGAGAAUGCCGGUGUGAGUAGCGAGAUGUAGGUGAGAAUCCUACACACCGAAAGCCCAAGGAUUCCAGGGGAAGGUUCGUCCGCCCUGGGUAAGUCGGGACCUAACGCGAGGCCGAAAGGCGUAGUGGAUGGAAAGCAGGCGAAAGAUUCCUGCACCCGUAUAUGGAGCGAAGGAGUGACGGAGACGGAUAGUGUGACCCUCUUAAUGGAUUGAGGGCGAAGCGAAGCGGCUGGUUACCAGGCAAAUCCGGUAACCAAAAGGCUAGAGCGUGACAGGUAAGCGAAAUCUUAGGAAAGUAGCGAAGCACAUGAUGACGGCUUCCAGGAAAAGCUUCUGGCAAUGCAUAUGCGGCCCGUACCAAAACCGACACAGGUGGGCAGGGAGAGAAUCCCGAGGUGAGCGAGAGAACUGUUGCCAAGGAACUCGGCAAAAUGACUCCGUAAGUUAGCGAGAAGGAGUGCUUAAGCAAUUAAGCCGCAGUGAAGAGGCCCAAGCGACUGUUUAACUAAAACACAGCUCUCUGCGAAGUCGCAAGACGAAGUAUAGGGGGUGACACCUGCCCGGUGCUGGAAGGUUAAGAGGAUCUGUUAAGAGCGAUCUGAAGCAGUGAUCCGAAGCCCCAGUGAACGGCGGCCGUAACUAUAACGGUCCUAAGGUAGCGAAAUUCCUUGUCAGGUAAGUUCUGACCCGCACGAAAGGUGUAACGAUUUGGGCGCUGUCUCGGCAGCAGACUCGGUGAAAUCUUAGUACCUGUGAAAAUGCAGGUUACCCGCAACUAGACGGAAAGACCCCAUGGAGCUUUACUGCAGCCUGAUAUUGAAUUCUGGUCAUACAUGUACAGGAUAGGUGGGAGACAAAGAGACGUGCACGCCAGUGUACGAGGAGUCGACGUUGGGAUACCACUCUUGUGUGACCGGGGUUCUAACCUGGUAUCGAGAACAGGUACGGGGAGAGUGUCAGGUGGGCAGUUUGACUGGGGCGGUCGCCUCCCAAAGAGUAACGGAGGCGCCCAAAGGUACGCUCAGAUUGGAUGGAAACCAAUCGUCGAGUGCAAUUGCAGAAGCGUGCUUGACUGUGAGACAAACAAGUCGAACAGGGACGAAAGUCGGGAAUAGUGAUCCGGCGGUGCCGAAUGGAAGGGCCGUCGCUCAACGGAUAAAAGCUACCCUGGGGAUAACAGGCUGAUCUCGCCCAAGAGUUCACAUCGACGGGGAGGUUUGGCACCUCGAUGUCGGCUCAUCGCAUCCUGGAGCUGAAGUCGGUUCCAAGGGUUGGGCUGUUCGCCCAUUAAAGCGGUACGCGAGCUGGGUUCAGAACGU
rnacentral:rRNA from 1 species